AUUCAGUCGACGAAUCCCAAAUAGGACGAAACGCGCUUCCUGGAU
rnacentral:hammerhead_ribozyme from 1 species